CGCUCUGGUGGCCUAGUGGUUAGAGCGUCUGCCUCGGAUGCAGUAGGUCGCGUGUUUGAACUCCGACCGAGUCA